rnacentral:rRNA from 1 species
GAUAAACGCUGGCGGCGUGCAUAACACAUGCAAGUCGAACGAUGAAACUCAGCUGAUUUCUUCGGAAUGAAAUUGAGCGGAUUAGUGGCGAACGGGUGAGUAACACGUGAGUAACCUGCCUUACACAAGGGGAUAGCCUUUGGAAACGAAGAAUAAUACCCUAUAAAGUCAAAAUAUCGCAUGAUAAAGUGACCAAAGAUUUAUCGGUGUAAGAUGGACUUGCGUCUGAUUAGCUAGUUGGUGAGAUAAAAGCCCACCAAGGCGACGAUCAGUAGCCGGCUUGAGAGAGUGUACGGCCACAUUGGGACUGAGACACGGCCCAAACUCCUACGGGAGGCAGCAGUGGGGAAUUUUGCACAAUGGGGGAAACCCUGAUGCAGCGACGCCGCGUGAUUUAGAAGGCCUUCGGGUUGUAAAAAUCUUUUUUAUGGGAUGAAAAUGACAGUACCAUAAGAAUAAGGUCCGGCUAAAUACGUGCCAGCAGCCGCGGUAAUACGUAUGGACCGAGCGUUGUCCGGAAUCAUUGGGCGUAAAGGGUACGUAGGCGGCCUAGUAAGUUAGAAGUGAAAUAAUAUAGCUCAACUAUAUAAAGCUUUUAAAACUGUUAGGCUUGAGAGAUGAAAGGGAAAGUGGAAUUCCUAGUGUAGCGGUGAAAUGCGCAGAUAUUAGGAAGAAUACCGGUGGCGAAGGCGACUUUCUGGUCAUCAUCUGACGCUGAGGUACGAAAGCGUGGGUAGCAAACAGG